GCGCCCUGGAAAUGUUACAGAUUUAGAUCAGGAACUGUACUUACUGGGCUCACCCAGGAUCCUAAUCCUGGAAAGAACAUCUCAACUGCAAUCUGCUGUACUUGCCUUCACAAACAUUUUGCUCAUCGAUGUCCGGCUUGGUUUAUUUGGUGUACAAUAAACUGACAUUGAUUUUCUAUCGCGUGAAAACUCGAGAGUAAAUUCUUUUUUCAUUAACUGCUUUAUGACCUGAAAAGAGAACACGCAUGGAAUACUACUGGGUAACAAUUUCUGAAUAUUUUUCACUUGGUCAACAAAUGUUCAUUAAGCACCUAUUCUGUGACAGGUGCUGGGGUUUAGCCAUGGACAGCGAACAAGUUCUCACCCUCAUGAAGUUUAAACUUGCCCUCUCAUUUGGGAAAGACACACUAGAAGCUUUAGGGAGCCUGCACAUUAGACGCCAGCACACUGACCAGAAGAGCUCAUGGAAAUAACUAAAGACAGAAAAGGUUGAGGACUGGGCUCUGGGGCCUCCCCACCCCCGGUCAUAUGUGUAAGAUCCAGCCAAGGAGCUGGCAGAGGGAUGGGAGGGAGGAGAACAAAUGAAGGAAUGUUUCACAGAGGGAGAGACCAACAGCUCAGGUAAAUGACUGAAAAUGACUCUUUGGAUUCAGACACUGUUGCGUUGUGUACACAACCAUGUUAUCUACAACAUACACUGUACCUUUUUAACAGUAAAAAAAUUUUUUUAAUGUUUAUUUUUGAGAGAGAGCAUGAGUAGGGGAGGGGCAGAGAAAGAGGGAGACACAGAAUUUGAAGCAGGUUCCAGGCUUAGCUGUCAGCACAGAGCCUGACGCAGGGCUCGAACCCACCAACUGUGAGAUCAUGACCUGAGCCAAAGUCGGAUGCUUAACCCAUUGACCCACCCAGGUGCCCUACACUAGCCUUUCUAAUUUUUAUACCUUUGAUUUCUUUUUCUUGUCUUAUUGCAUUGACUGGGGCUGCUGGGACAAUACUGAAUAGAAACACUGAGAGCAGAAAAUUUUUUGUCGCUACUAAGUAUGACAUUAGUACAGACUCUGUGUAAAUAUACCUUCAACUUGAAGACAGGUUUGCUGAAUUGUUUUUGUUUUGUUUUUGUAGUUUAUUUUGAGAGAGUGAGCAAGUCAGCAAGGGAUGGGGAGAGAACCACCACAAGCAGGCUCCACACUCUAUCUCACAAACUAAGAUCACGAACUGAGCUGAAAUCAAGAGUUGGAAGCUUAACCGACUGAGCCACCUAGGUGCCCAGAUACAAAGCUAGUAAUUGCAGAAAUCCUCAAGAACCUCAGCAUCCAAUGUGGGCAGUGACAAGUGGACAGACAUCUGUGGGUUCUCUGCCAGGCUGUGUGGACUAUGGUCAUCCUCUCAGCCAGAGCUGCCUCAAGCAGAAAAAGACCAUCACUGAAUUCUGCAUUAUUUGACUCGUAUGUAUUUACGUGUUUAGUUUCCAUUGAGCAUUUCCACCAAAUGCUCUAGAAAGACUGAAGGAAUGUGUAGUGAUUCUUAGGUGUAGAUCUAGGCACCAGAUACAUCCUGGGUGGAGAGAAGAAUACAGCCAUUUCUAACAGCAUCAGGAUAGUCCAUUAGGCCUUAAAAAGCUGGGUUCUGCCCACUUCCUCUCUGAACUACAACAGGUUCCUGCUUUCUAGGGGCCGGAGACUGGCAUGAGUUCAGAUCUGGAAAUUUUCAGUGAAGGAGCCCCAAUGACAGUCAUUACUGAUCUCCUCGCUCAGCUGCUGACAAAAAAAUGAGGCAGCCAAGGAUCAAGAAAUGGCUUAGUCUGCAGACAAGAGAACAGACAGCCUUGCCCUUACGUCCCGUCAAAAUGACAGUUAACACACUGCUUGUAAGCUCCAUACUACUUGUUUCCCUUUAUCGAGUGGUUACCGGUCUAGAAUCAAACAGUUCUAACCCUCAGUCUCUGUGAAGGUUGCCUCUGAGGGACUUAGUCAAACCAACUAAUAGAGCUGUCAGACAAUGUGGUUUUGCAAGGAUGCCCCUCUGCCCCCUUUAUCCCACCCCAGCUCACUGCCAGUGUGAGAGUGAGGGCUCUAAAAUGGAGACCAGGACAUCUCCCAUUUUAUGGAUGCCACAGGAGCUGCCCAGGACCCUUGUGACUAUGAGAUUGCUAAUGGUGGAGUGUGGAUCAUGUCACAGCGGGGAGGGCCUUAAUUCUGGUGUGAGCUUUGUUUUCUUGAUAAUAUAAAGGAGAUAAAAUGAUGCAAAGAAAGGGUGCUAGAGAAGGAGUCCAGUUCUGCCUCACCCUGUGAAACUAUGCUCAUCACUGCAGGCCUCACUCAGUUUCCCUGUCUGUGAAUGCCAGACUGGACUGGAUGGACCCUUUCACAGUCUGACAUUGGUGUGCUCACCAAAAUGCUUAAAAAACUUGACCGGAGGGGCAUCUGGGUGGCUCAAAGUGUCUGACUUCAGCUCAGGUCACGAUCUCACGGUUCGUGAGUUUAAGCCCUGCAUCGGGCUCUGCUUUGGCACUGUAGAGCCUGCUUGGGAUACUCUCUCCCUCUCUCCCCUCCUCAGAUUGCACAUGCACUCUCUCUCUCACAAAAUAAACUUUAAAAAAAAAAAAAAAAAAAAACUACUUGACUGGAGUGCACUGGAGAAAAUCAGAAAAGUGAAACAAGAGAAUACAUUAGAACAGCUACUUUGAGAAAUUUUACUAGAAAAGAAAAGAAGCAGAGUGCUAAAGGGGGAAACAAAACAAAGAAACUUUUAAGAUAAAAAACAU